UUUUUAUAAAAGUAUCAUGGAAAAUACAUACAAAAUGCUCAUGUACAUACAGAAAAGGGAGUGCUUAAUGUGAUUCAAUGCUUACAGACUUACAAACGUUACAGACUUAUAGUCUAAACUGAGAGAGUUCAAAAACUUAAUUCACCAAGAAGAGCACAAAUCUUUGUCAAAAUUCCUGUUCUAAACUUCAGCUUGGAAAAUAUAGUCAUUGUCCAAUUUGGGUCCAUUCCACCAUUUGGGGAUGAGUAAGCUAAUGAAGAUGUUGAGACCCAUCAAAGAAAGACCUCUUCUUGCUGGCUCUCCAAUCUCUGAUUAUGCUACUGUCUCCUCCCUUACGUGCUGACAAGCAUUUGGCUAAUUCAGGAGGCAUCCUUUUGGCCACCUUCACUGUCUCUCUCACUUCCAUGAUUCUAGGGAAUAAUUCUAGCUGUCACUGUGCAGCAGGAUGGACACUUUUUAAGAUUCUCUACCCCGACUUUGAGAACUAGACCGGAUGUGUGUGUACAUCCACUGUCUUCAUCAAUAACAUUUAGCUGUCUCCCAGGUCCAGUCAAGGUGACCAAGAGAUAGAGAGGUGGACUAUAACUCUGGUUUAACCACUAGAUCCCUAAAUUAAACAUAUCUGAUUAGAGUGACAGAUGUCUCCCCGCCUAACUGUGUGAUCUUGGGACAGUAACUUAACUUCUCUGAGCCUUAGUUUGUCCUCUGUAAAAUAGUAACUACUAGAGGAAUGUGUUAAAUAGUGCAUGCUAAGUGCCUAGUACAGUGUUUAGCAAACAAUAAGCACUUAAUAAAUGUCAUUUCUAAACACUUUUUAUUGUUAUUCUCGUUAACAUCGGCACGAAGGGACUGCGUUCAUGUAAACCGUCAUGUAACUAUGACCUGCUCAGCUGCGUCCUAUUGUCCCACAGGAGGCCCUGACAUUAAGAGAAGAGCAGCAGCUGGUGUGAUAGAUAAAAUAUGGACAACCACGGUGUAAAAACAGACCAGUACAACUCCAGUCUCUUCAAGAGAGGGCAUGGUAGUUUUUAGGCACUGCCCCUUUGUCCCUUGAGAGGAGAGAGGCAAUUUAUCAGGCUCCUAUAGCUUGAUAGAAACGCUGCUUGCAAAUGUUCACCUCAUCUUGGUCUGAGUCUCUCUUUCUUAAAAUAACAUCUUGUAGGUUCUCCUUGAAAUGGAGUUUUAAGGUCAAGUACAUUUGGAAAAUGCUGUAAGUCUAUUCUUCUAGUGGCAGCAUUAGCGUAUUAAAACCUCUGAACAAUCUAUGGUAAAGAGUCCCAUCUCACUUUAACCCAGUGUUUUCCAAACAUAUUGGCCAUUUUUCACACACACUGCCACCUCACUUCUGAUUUUUUUGUCCUAGAACCAAUACAUAGCCCUGGUUGAUUUUAUUUUCCUUUUUUUCUUUUUUUUGUCCAUGCAAACCACAGACCAUGUCUCUCUCACCUUCCUAGCACCUCUGAUAGCUAAAGGAGCAGGGCACCCCUGUCCUGCCAUCUCCUGGGCACAUACAGAUCCAGGACCAACAUGGCUUGCUUGCCUCCUACCCUGAGGCCAUAGAAAAAGGCUCACCGAAUCUCAGCCUCUACUCACCACAGCACGCCCUGGCAUGUCACAGGCACACACCAAGGGUCCAAACAAGGGCUUGCGGCCCUGACCUGUGGCAGAGCAGACCUCCUCACAACUAGACCUGGGCAGCUCUCCCAUUGAAUGAAAUGGCCUUCCCAGCACAAGGCGGGCCUGAGAGUAAAGACAGCCCUGAUGCCCAGAACUCAACGUCGAGUGACAGGUGCACAGUCUACAGCAGGACCCGAGGCACCCUGGGCCCCUGCUGCACACUGCUCCCAAGAAACGGGAAGGCGCUUGGUCAAGUUAGUGUACCUCACGUAGUAAGUGAAGAGAAACACAGAAACCCACACAUGUGCACGCACAUCCAGACAAGCACACACAUUCCUUGUGUGUUUUCCACAGAACUCCACACCUUCCUGGGCAGAUAAGUGUCUCUUACUCCAAAACCGGUGAUUUCUUCUCCCCUACCCAGUAGAAGGGAAUCUUCUGUGAGAGAGGUUAGCAAAGCCAUCUUCCAGAACCCUGGCAUUUCUGAGUGAACGGUUAAAAAUCUAGUUUCUGAAUGUGCAAAACUAAGUCCAUAAAGUAUCUCCAUGAGCGGAUGUGAUAGAGGAGAAAGGCAGCGCUCUUGAUGUUAGGACACUGGGGUGUGGGUCCCGGUUUUGCUAUUGAGUAACUGUCUUUAGCAAGUCAUUUGUUGCACUCUUUGUUCUCCAUUUUCCCCUUUCUUUAGUGCAGGCCAAUAAUGCCAAUUUCACACUUUGCAGUUGAAUGUGCUAUGUACACACACACUGUCCUCAUGAUACGGAAACCCUGAAACGGUUAUUCCCAUGGCCGGAAGGCAUUUGAGAGAUUCUAGAGCCUGCCUUUAGAAAAGGGAAUGUCUGAAUCACUACUGAGAGAGCCCUUGCUUGAUUUAAUUCCCAACUCAAAGCAAGAAAGUUUGCACAUGGGAAAAAUAUGGCUUUUCAGACAUCACAGCAGGCUCUCCACAAAUACUUGUCCAAUUGAAUUAAGUUGAAAACAUUUAACUGAUGCUAAAACUUCAAGUAUGCGAAAACAAUCUCUCCUUUUCCUGUAACUGGUCUUUCUAUCCCGACUCUGUAUUCUACUCGCUGCAGAUCACCCGAUUAGUCACUUCCGGGUGAGCUCAGUCAAUUUGGUGGAAAGCUCAGGCCUAUUCAGGAUUUUCUUCUUGUUCUCCCCAGUUUCUGUGAGAGGCGUCUGUACAAUGGUCAUCUGCCCUGGUAUCUUCUAGGGAGUACGAUUGUCCCGUUUGCUCUCUAAUCUUCUGCCGAGGACACUGAGCCUUCCCCACGUUUACAUCUAUGGAGGUCUGCGCCCGGCGCUGGCUUCCACGGCCGUGGUCUCCGCUACCUUCCUCGUCCCGUUGCUCCCUUCUUCCUCCGCCUUCCCACGUCUUCCUUGUCUCUUCCCCUCUUCCCUUCGCCUUCAUUUAUUUCUUUGUUUCUCUCUCUCAUUCCCUGCCCCCACCCCCACACAUACCAUUUGUUGAACGCACAGCGUCAGUCCUACAAAACUUGCUAAGAUCUGGUCCUUGUCUUAAGAAGCUCUCAAAUAAAGGAGCCUGCAUCAUCAAAGUGAGGCCAAGAAUUUCAGCCUUGAAAAAGCCUGAAUCUCUCAAAAGAAGUUUUCCAUUCAGGAAGCCAAAUCCCCAAGCCCCAAAGACACUGACUCCUAAAGUCAUCCAUCUUGUCUGCGGCUCAUCCAAGCCCGGAGCCUACCCACCUCCUGGCUCAGUGCCAGAAACUAGGGCGCUGCGGGGAGUCCGGACGCUUCCUUUGCGCGAGGCUGAGAAGAGGGAGGCUCCUGUUCGCUGCCCCUUGUUAAUGGCCGUCCCUUGGACUGUGGUUCCUGAUGAGGUAUGGCCUGAAUGCUUUCUAUGCACCAGCUAUAGACCUUCUGGUGCCCAGGACUGCUGUUUAGCGGGAAGAGAUUGUAAUUCCAUCCUCUGCCAUUCGUCAUCAGUCAUCGAUGACUUCAUCCUGAGACUCAGUUGAUUCUCUCUCCAAAACACAAGCUCUAGAACUGGUCUACUUGGGUUGAAUCCUCGCUCCGCCACCUACCAUCUACCAUCUGUGAUCUCAGGCAAGUUGUUCAGUGCUCUAGUGUCUGGUUCUUUAUCUGUAAAAUGCCAAUAAAGCUAAUAGUUAUCUAAAAGCUUCUGUAGAAAUCAAUUAAGAAAUAUGUAGAAGGUUUGCACUGGAUUAAAAAAUCAACCCAAUGCAUGGUUUAGGAAAGUUCAGGAAUAAAAAUGGAAAUACCACUUCUUCUGAUAAAGAAAUAUUACUUCUCUCCAAGAUACAAAGAUUUCAUUGGCUAAUUUAGCUGUUUCACUACAUUCUUAGGUUAUA